rnacentral:misc_RNA from 1 species
GAUGAAGAACGUAGUGAAAUGCGAUAAGUAAUGUGAAUUGCAGAAUUCAGUGAAUCAUCGAAUCUUUGAACGCACCUUGCGCCCGCCAGUAUUCUGGCGGGCAUGCCUGUUCGAGCGUCAUUUCAACUAUCAAGCCCCGGGCUUGUGUUGGGGAUCUGCGGCUGCCCGCAGGCCCUGAAAACCAGUGGCGGGCUCGCUGUCACUCCGAGCGUAGUAGCACUCGUAUCUCGCUCAGGGCGUGCCGCGGGCUCCGGCCGUUAAACCGCCUCUUUAGCACCCAAAGGUUGACCUCGGAUCAGGUAGGAGGACCCGCUGAACUUAAGCAUAUCAAUAAGCGGAGGA